rnacentral:rRNA from 2 species
CAGGCCUAACACAUGCAAGUCGAGCGGUAGCACAGAAGAGCUUGCUCUUUGGGUGACGAGCGGCGGACGGGUGAGUAAUGUCUGGGAAACUGCCUGAUGGAGGGGGAUAACUACUGGAAACGGUAGCUAAUACCGCAUAACGUCUUCGGACCAAAGAGGGGGACCUUAGGGCCUCUCGCCAUCGGAUGUGCCCAGAUGGGAUUAGCUAGUAGGUGAGGUAAUGGCUCACCUAGGCGACGAUCCCUAGCUGGUCUGAGAGGAUGACCAGCCACACUGGAACUGAGACACGGUCCAGACUCCUACGGGAGGCAGCAGUGGGGAAUAUUGCACAAUGGGCGCAAGCCUGAUGCAGCCAUGCCGCGUGUGUGAAGAAGGCCUUCGGGUUGUAAAGCACUUUCAGCGGGGAGGAAGG